GAUGAACGCUGGCAGCGUGCCUAAUACAUGCAAGUCGAGCGAACGGACGAGAAGCUUGCCUCUCUGAUGUUAGCGGCGGACGGGUGAGUAACACGUGGAUAACCUACCUAUAAGACUGGGAUAACUUCGGGAAACCGUAGCUAAUACCGGAUAAUAUUUUGAACCGCAUGGUUCAAAAGUGAAAGACGGUCUUGCUGUCACUUAUAGAUGGAUCCGCGCUGCAUUAGCUAGUUGGUAAGGUAACGGCUUACCAAGGCAACGAUGCAUAGCCGACCUGAGAGGGUGAUCGGCCACACUGGAACUGAGACACGGUCCAGACUCCUACGGGAGGCAGCAGUAGGGAAUCUUCCGCAAUGGGCGAAAGCCUGACGGAGCAACGCCGCGUGAGUGAUGAAGGUCUUCGGAUCGUAAAACUCUGUUAUUAGGGAAGAACAUAUGUGUAAGUAACUGUGCACAUCUUGACGGUACCUAAUCAGAAAGCCACGGCUAACUACGUG
rnacentral:rRNA from 1 species